GGGCAUGCUCCUUUGAAGCCCCUGUAAGCGAUCACCGACCUCUUGCUCUCUGGCCCAUCCCAUCGCAAAGGUCGCAUACCAGACGAAAAUUCAGGUUUGAAAACCUGUGGUUAAAAGAGGCCAAGUGCAGGGAAUUGGUUCUCCAUAGCUAGACUCAAUCUGCUGGUUUCGACCUCCUUCCUCAAUCAGCUAAAUUUGUGUAGUAAAGACCUAUGAUGUUGGGGUAAGCAUCUCAUUAAAAAUUUUCAACCGCACAUUGACCAUUGCAAAAACCAAAUGGAGAGUAUCCGCUCUCGUCGCAACUAUUCUAGCGUCUAGCAGUUCAACACUGCCCAAUCCAUUUAUAUCAGACUGCUAAACCAACAUAAUCAAUACUGAAAGUAGAGGGCUAAAAGCUUUUGGCUCAAGAAUGGAGACACUAAGUCGAAAUUAUUUCAUAAUCAAGUUAGAAAGAGAAGGCCAAGGACCUUGUGGUCCAGUGGCAUCAAACCCUUCCCACGGGAGGUGGUGGGUUCGAGACUCAGUGGAGGCAAUACUGAUUCUUGUACCUCAAUAGGUUGAAAGAGUAGUUCUGAACAGAUACUGGUAGUAUUCAAAAAAAAAAAGUUAGUAAGAGAAGAUGAAGAUCCAAUGUUCUUAUUGGCCUCAAAGACUCUUCUGGAAACUGGAUACCCAAGGGCCAUGGUCUCGAGUCACUGAUUGCUAACCACUUCACCAACAUCUUUAGGUCCAACCCAGGUCGGUUGGUUACCUAUGAAGAAGUCCGUUCUGCAGUCUUUAGUAUGCAUCCGGAUAAAUUCCCUAGACCCAAUGGGUUAAACCCGGGAUUCUACCAAGAACACUCGGAUAUUCUUGGACAUGAUCUUACUGAUCUUUUUAAACAAUUUGUCACUACUGGAAAAUUACCCAAGGGCUUGAUACUCAAAUUGUCCUCAUCCCUAAGAAGCCUAAGCCUUAGAAUGUGGGUGAUUUAAGGCCAAUUGCACUUUGUAAUGUUGCCUAUAAAAUUGUGGCUAACAUUGUUGUUCGUGAAACUCUUACAUGAUUAAAGCAGCAAAACUACUCCAAGAUCCUGGUCGAAACUGAUGCUCUCAUUGUGGUACAAGGUCUACAUGGUGAUAAUCAUACUUCUUCUUUUGAUCUUGUAAUCCUUGACAUUAAAUGUUUACUAAGUCUUUUAGACGAUGUUUCAAUCUCGUUUGUUAAACACUAUACAAAUGGAGUUACUCACUUACUUGAGACUCCAUCUCUAAUGCAAAACGUAAAAACUGGUUCUUAGAACCUCCUUUCUUCCAUUUGUACUCCAAUGAAUGAAUUUGCUGUUUGUUUGAAAAAAAAAAA